rnacentral:lncRNA from 1 species
AAAUACGAGAAAACCUUGCCCUGGUUUCCAAAUGUUUACCUUUCUGCAAAGCUGGCCCACAGAGUGCCUUCGCUCUUCAAAAGAAAAUCCUGCCACCUAGGAGAUUGGACUGACAGCUUUUAAGAAGCAUUAAACCAAAGCCUGGUUUCCUCAUCUCUAAAUUAAAGAGGAUAAUAACUUAUGUAUUGCAUGGUUUACUCUGAAGAAAGGUAAUGGCUUCAUUAUAAAGGAUAAAUCUUCCCUUCACAAACAUAAUGAAGGGCAUGGAUCCUCAAAUCUUUUGCACAAUGGAAAUGGAGGGAAGGACAGCAAAGACAGAUGGAAGAAAGAGAGGAGGAUAGAAGACGCUUGUACUGUACUUGGGAAAUAAUUCUCCUUUCUUUAAAUACAUGCAUUUCAAAAGGACUCUAAAGCAUCCUUCCUGGUUUUGACCUCAUUUAGGGUGAAGGUUUUAUAUUGGCCUAUGUGCAUGAUUUCACCAUGAAAUACAUUUCAGCCUUGUUGAAGAUGUGAUGCAGACUCCAGCUUUCCUCCGCUGUCUAACAUCUCACCAUAAUGGAGACACCUGCCUGUGUAAAUGGGUGCAAUCAGAACAAGUUUCCGAGCUCAUCACUUCUUUACCCAGCAAGGUGUGUGAAGGAAGACUUGUGCAGUCAGUCGAUACUAAGUUGCAUAAUAGGUUACCCCGAGCCUUUUGAAUUUAAACAAAGGAAGUUCUCAACCUGAUUGGAAUUAACCUAUAUCGACUUGACUUUUUGCUUCAUCUUUGAUGAAGUGAAGAUGAUACCGAUCAGCAGGCGGGGAGCCUGAUGGGUGUUAAUGGGGGGUUUUCAAGUUUGUCUUGCUUUCCUUAAACCAUUAAGAAAGAACAAAAAACAUUAUUUAGAGUAGAACUGGUUUCCUGGAAGGGAAGAAAGAAAACUGAGAAUUUAUUAUUAAAGAAAUAGAGCCAAGGUGGGAAGGGGGGAGAGUCCUCCUUACAUCUCCUGGCCAGGUGCUCUGUGCAUAUAAAUGUUUCAAGUUAGCUUU